UGAGUACGAGAUGCUACGGCAUCGAAGCAGUCUAUGUCAUACUUCCAAGAAAAGCUUGCAAUGUCAUAAACAAAUAAUGCCUGUACCAUAACCGACACAGGUGGGUAGGUAGAGUAUACUAAGGGGCGCGAGAUAACUCUCUCUAAGGAACCCGGCAAAAUGACUCCGUAACUUCGGGAGAAGGAGUGCCUUAUUUUUAUAAGGUUGCAAUAACAAGAUCCAAGCAACUGUUUACCAAAAACACAGGUCUCCGCUAAGUCGUAAGACGAUGUAUGGGGGCUGACGCCUGCCCAGUGCCAGAAGGUUAAAGAAGUUGGUUAGCAUUAGCGAAGCUGAUAACUGAAGCCCUGGUGAACGGCGGCCGUAACGAUAACGGUCUUAAGGUAGCGAAAUUCCUUGUCGGGUAAGUUCCGACCCGCACGAAAGGCGUAAUGAUUUGGAUACUGUCUCGGAGAGGGGCUCGGUGAAAUAGACUUGUCUGUGAAGAUGCGGACUACCUGCACCUGGACAGAAAGACCCUAUGAAGCUUUACUGUAACUUGAGAUUGAAAUUGGACUUUAUCUGCGCAGUAUAGGUGGGAGACGUUGAAAAUAUUCUUGCGGGAAUAUUGGAGUCAUCAGUGAGAUACCACUCUUAUAAUGUUAGAUUUGUAACUUUGUAUCAUUAUCUGGUCAAAGAACAGUUUCAGGCGGGCAGUUUGACUGGGGCGGUCGCCUCCCUAACGGUAACGGAGGCGCACAAAGGUUUCCUCUGAACGUGUAGAAAUCGUAUCUAGAGUGUAAAGGCAUAAGGAAGCUUGACUGUGAGACCUACAAGUCGAGCAGGGACGAAGGUCGGUCUUAGUGAUCUGACGGUGCUGAGUGGAAAGGCCGUCACUCAACGGAUAAAAGUUACUCUAGGAUAACAGGCUGAUCUCCCCCAAGAGUUCACAUCGACGGGGAGGUUUGGCACCUCGAUGUCGGCUCAUCGCAUCCUGGGGCGGUAGUACGUCCCAAGGGUUGGGCUGUUCGCCCAUGAAAGCGGUACGCGAGCUGGGUUCAGAACGUCGUGAGACAGUUCGGUCCAUAUCCGGUGUAGGCGUUAGAAUAUUGAGAGGAGCCUUCUUUAGUACGAGAGGACCGAGAAGGACAUACCUCUGGUGUACCAGUUAUCGUGCCAACGGUAAACGCUGGGUAGCCAUGUAUGGAGAGGAUAACCGCUGAAAGCAUCUAAGUGGGAAGCCCACCUCAAGAUAAG
rnacentral:rRNA from 1 species